UGAACCAGCGUGUGAUGUAUCAAGGUGAUCAUAAAUGAUAUGGGAAGGAGGCAGGGAUGUCUGGGGAAGCUGCAGAGAUUCAUUUGAAGUGUGGUUAUUUUGGGUUUGUGAAUGAUGUGAGUGCUCCUUGAAGAGCAGUUGGGCUGUAAUGUUUAAGAAGGUUUUAAUUAACCUCACCAAGGAGAAAGGGUGCAAAAGGCCAAAGUUAGCAGCAGUGUCUCAAGCUUAUGUUGCCCAGGAUUCUAAUUAUGUGAAGGCUUUUGUAAGUUAAAAGAAGACAAUUUUUGUGCAAAAGCUGGUUUAUGAUAUUUAAUAGUUCCUGCUUUUCAUUUGGCAAAACUGGAAUGAAUAUUUCUUCUAAAUUAGAAAAUUUUUUACAACCUCUGACUUCAGCUGGAAAGAAUUCUGCACAGAAAAUGUUUUAUGUACAGUUGGAGAACAGUUCAGUGAUGUGUGUGGGGGUCUGAGCUGUGUUACAAUUCCCAUUUCUAUGUCAGGAAAGAUCAAGAAGGAGAAAGAGAGACAAAUUUUGAGAGACAAAUUAAUUCACUGACAUGAUUUGUUGAUAUAAAAGGCUUUUGUGUAGAAGGCUGCCCUGAGAAGCCUGGAUUUUAAGGCUGUAAUUGGAAUUUGAGCUUGGUGACAGAUCCUUAGCUGGGAAGAUCAACACAGUUGCAAUUGGGCCUGGUUAAUUAGUUCUCUGUAAUAAAACAGGUGUAAAAACAGGUGUACAGCUGGGCCUUCCUUCCCUCCAGCCAGUGGAUCCCACUGUCCCUGAGAGUGCAACAGCUCAGCCGUCCUGUCUGUAACCUGACAGCUGGGAAAUCCAGUUAUGUCCAACUUGGAUUUUAAGCUCUAGACAAAAAAUCAUUUAAUCUUAGUUUUUAUAUCAGAACCCAGUAGUAAAAUAAAAAGCAUUGAUUAAAAAAAUAAUCUCUAUAAUAAGGAAAACAAAAGCUUCUGGAGCACAGCCUGGCCUCCAGGGAAGAGCUGCUGGCCAGAGGGUUCAGUGUUAUGUCCCAUCCCUACUGCAUUCCCACCAAAUCCAGUCUGCUGACACCUGCUCACCUCCCUCACUUUCAAAAACAGGUGAGCUUGGAAAAAUGGGAGUUAUAAAUCCUUCAAACCCAGCCAUUUAAGAGAGGGCAGUGAGCUCCCAGCUGUGUCCUCAGGCGCAGGGAGGAGCUGGCUCCCUGCCCCAGUGGCAGAGCCAUGCUCUUUGGGUGCCUGCUGGGAAUCCCACAGCCUGCAAAGGGUAAGAGAGGGUUUUCCCACUUUUUGUGCCAAGUAAGGCCUUUAUCUUGCAGAGCAUCCACAUGCGACACUCACAAUGUCAGCGUUUAGCACCAAGAUGCCAUUUCUGGGAGCAGGAAUGCUGGUACCUACACCUGGCAGAUGUUAUAGUGAACUCCCGUCUGAUCCAACAGGGUUUCCUCAGUCAUUUCAAUCCCUUUGUCUUUGGGAUGCAGGUGUGAGGUCUCUGCAGAAAGAAACUUGUCUGUGUUGCUCACUGGGUUUUGCUGCAAAAAUCAGAGCAGAGUUUUGAUUUCUGGAGUGAGCAGGUGCCUUGUGCCUGUCCUGCCCCGUCCCACGCCCCCCUGCCCUCCCACCACGCUGCACGUACCGGGGGGGGCUUUGGGGCAAAGUCCUUCUGGCAGACGUGCGCUAUGAUGCCGGCAGCCAGCGCAUCCCCGAGCACGUUGGUCAUCGUGCGCAGCCGGUCCCUGCGGGGAGACAGCGCCAGGAUGCAGGGGGUGCCCACUGCCAGGGUGCCCGGGGUGUUGAUGGCCCUGGGACACAUCAGCCCCCGUCCUGAAUGUCCCUCCCACUGGUGUUGCCAAGUGCUGUGUUGGUUUUGGAGAUGCAGAGAGAAGAUGGUCCCUAUGUGAGCCCCAUGCUGGGGCAGCAUCUGUGUGACCCUGCCUGUGCGAGCAGUGCAGGGACCUGCCAGUGCCACCUCCCAAACUGGGACAGGCACUGUUGUGCUAAGUGCAGGGAGAGCUGCCUCAGCAAGUCAUAAAACUCCUUGAGAUGCUUCUCGAGGAGAAAUCCUGUUGAUCCAGCUACUGAUCGUCUCUUGUCUACCCAGGCACCUCUCACAUUAGUAGAAGGUGCCAGCAGUGCUGGGUACCCUAUGGUGCUGAAAGGUUAAACUGCUGGUGUGUUAACCUUCCUUUGUUGGAGGAAAGAGAAAAGGGGGAGGGAAAGAGAAAAGCAGCCUUGAUACUUGGCACUGUUCCCUCUUUUCCCUGGGGGCAUGGAAAGUACAAACCAGCCACCCACAUGUCACUUCCCUAACUCAGCAUCUGCUCUGUGGUUUCUCACCUAAUGACUCACGGUGUUUUUAUCUGAGUACUUUAGAAUGGCACAUUUCACAAGGUGUGAGUUUAUUUGUCUGUGACAAGUGUAAUCCAGCAUCAGUUUGUGUCUUGAGAGCAGUCUGGUUUCAUCCAUCAAGAUGAAGAUACAGCACCAUGAAUUGACACGGGGCACUGCCCACAGCAGUGGCCUGGAGAGCACUUACAGAGCCCAGUCGACGGCGAUGAUGAGGGUGAUGUCCUCGGUGGGCAGCCCCACGGAGGUGAGCACGAUGACCAUAGUGACGAGCCCGGACUGUGGGAUCCCAGCGGCCCCAAUGCUGGCUGCUGAGGCCGUGAUGCUGCAAAGAGAAGGUGGCUGUGCAACUCAGACUGGCGUGUUUGCAUGGCAGACAUGAAGAUGACAACUGUCCCACAGGAAAUGGGAUAAGGAAUGGAGGAAGAACAGGUUCAAGAAAGGAAACCACAGAAAAGAAGUCCAUGGAUUACAACAGACUCUGGGAGGCGGGGACUGCAUUUGGGAAGGGCUCUGGGUACAGAGCAAUGGCCCCAGCCCACAGACCAUGGGGCUGGGACACGGAGCAGGGUGUUCUCUCUGUGGCUGGUCUCCCUCCCUUAGCUGGCUGCAGAGCAGAGGCAGGAGAAACCUGAAGGAGACAGAGCUGGAGAUCCAGGUUCAGGAUGAGACCAGGUAUUAAGAAUUGCAGAAGCAACAGUUGCAGCAGUGGGCCUUGGGGAAGGGAGGCACAGUCGAGGUGGUUUUAUUGGGAUUAUGUGGAGAAGCAAUAGAGAGGCCAUAAAAACCCUUUGCCUGGUCAAAUGUGCUCCAGGAAAAUGUUUGGAUUUGUGUCUCCUGGAAAGGAUGCUAAUUUAUAGUGUGAAGUUUUUUUCAUUGUUCUAAGGAAUGUAUUUCAAUGAAAAUAGAAUAGGUAAAUAUAAUCUAAAAUGAUUAAAAUCUUUUCAAAGUAGGUAAGAUUUUUCUGUGGAUGAACUUGGGAUACACUGUACUUGAUUUUAGAUUGUCAGUAAAGUGUUCAGAAGA